rnacentral:tRNA from 1 species
GGGGAUAUAGCUCAGUUGGUAGAGUGCUUGCCUAGCAUGCACGAGGUCCUGGGUUCAAUCCCCAGCACCA